AACGAACGUUGGCGGCGUGGAUUAGGCAUGCAAGUCGAGGGAAUCCCAGCAAUGGGGGAACCGGCGUAAGGGGCAGUAAUGCGUGGGUACCUACCCCGGGGUUCGGGAUAGCCAUCAGAGAUGGUGGGUAAUACCGGAUGACGUGGUGACACCAAAGAUUUAUCGCCCUGGGAGGGGCCCACGUGAUAUUAGCUAGUUGGUGGGGUAACGGCUCACCAAGGCUGAGAUGUCUAGCGGGUGUGAGAGCACGACCCGCGCCACUCGCACUGAGACACUGGCGAGACACCUACGGGUGGCUGCAGUCGAGGAUCUUCGGCAAUGGGGGCAACCCUGACCGAGCGACGCCGCGUGCGCGAUGAAGGCCUUCGGGUUGUAAAGCGCUGUCGAGGGGGAGAAAAGCCGAAAGGUUUGAUCUAUCCCUGGAGGAAGCACGGGCUAAGUUCGUGCCAGCCGCCGCUGUAAAAC
rnacentral:rRNA from 1 species